rnacentral:rRNA from 1 species
CGGUAAUUCUAGCUCCAAUAGCGUAUUUUAAAGUUGUUGCGGUUAAAACGUUCGUAGUCGUAUUUCUGCUUCGGAUCUUCCUUUCGAAAGUGAGAAUUCGAGCAUUGGUGUGGGCGGUUUACGUCACUUAAUUGUGCCGUUGCGUAAACCCACACUUAUUAUUUUGAGGAAAUUAGAGUGUUUAAAACGUGCAUGGGAUGAAUAUAAUAGCAUGGGACAAUGUGAAACGGGGACGAGAUUGGCGUGGAUUUUGGCUCGGCCCAAUUUUCAAAAGGAGCAUUUGGGGGUAUCCGUAUUGAGCUGCUAGAGGUGAAAUUCUUGGAUUUUUUUAAGACGAACAAAUGCGAAAGCAUUUACCAAGGAUGUUUUCAUUGAUCAAGAACGAUAGUUAGGGGAUCGAAGACGAUUAGAUACCGUCCUAGUCUUAACAGUAAACUAUGCCGACUAAGGAUUUGUAAAUGUGAUUAUCACUUUAUAAGUACUUUAUGAGAAAUCAAAGUCAUCGGGUUCCGGGGGGAGUAUGGUCGCAAGUCUGAAACUUAAAGGAAUUGACGGGAGGGCACCACCAGGAGUGGAGCCUGCGGCUUAAUUUGACUCAACACGGAGAACCUUACUAGGUCCAGACAGGGGAGGGAUUGACAGUUUGACAGCGCUUUCUUGAUUCUUUGGGUGGUGGUGCAUGGCCGUUCUUAGUUGGUGGAGCGAUUUGUCUGGUUAAUUCCGUUAGCGAACGAGACCUUUACUAUCUAAAUAACACAAUGUAACAAGAUUAUGCUGUUGUUUCUUAGAAGGACUACUUGCUUCUUCAGCAAGGGGAAGCUUAAGGCAAUAACAGGUCUGUGAUGCCCUUAGAUGAUCUAGGCUGCACGCGCGCUACAAUGGUACGUUCAACAUGCAUUCCUCCUCCGAAAGGAGUUGGUAAGCAGUAAUGCGUAUCGUGUUUGGAAUAGACCAUUGCAAUUUUUGGUUUUAAACGAGGAAUUCCUAGUAAGCGCGAGUCAUAAGCUGGUGCUGAUUACGUCUCUGCCCUUUGUACACACCGCCCGUCGCUCCUACCGAUUGAGCAAUCCGGUGAAUAAUUUGGAUUCGCUGCAUCUGGUCAACAGUGUGCGUGCGGAAAAAUUUUGUAAACCUUAUUGUUUAGAGGAAGGAAAAGUCGUAACAAGGUAGCCGU